UCGAGUUUUCUCUUUUUUUUUGUUAAAAAUGUAUGACUCUAUAAAUUUUAGACCGUGAGGCCAAACUUGGCAUGUGAUACCUUUUCGGAAAGCCCAAAGAGAGCUCUCCGAUGAAUGAGGAAGCACAAUGGAAUUAUUCUA
rnacentral:sRNA from 1 species